rnacentral:rRNA from 1 species
GAUGAACGCUGGCGGCGUGCCUAAUACAUGCAAGUCGAGCGAACAGACGAGGAGCUUGCUCCUCUGACGUUAGCGGCGGACGGGUGAGUAACACGUGGAUAACCUACCUAUAAGACUUGGAUAACUUCGGGAAACCGGAGCUAAUACCGGAUAAUAUAUUGAACCGCAUGGUUCAAUAGUUAAAUACGGUUUUUCUGUCUCUUAUAGAUGUAUCCGCGCCGCAUUAGCUAGUUGGUAAGGUAACGGAUUACCAAGGCGACGAUGCGUAGCCGACCUGAGAGGGUGAGCGGCCACACUGGAACUGAGACACGGACCAGACUCCGACGGGAGGCAGCGGUAGGGAAUAUUCCGCAAUGGGCGAAAGCAUGACGGAGCAACGCCGCGUGAGUGAUGAAGGUCUUCGGAUCGUAAAACUCUGUUAUUAGGGAAGAACAAAUGUGUAAGUAACUAUGCACGUCUUGACGGUACCUAAUCAGAAAGCAACGGCUAACUACGUG